rnacentral:rRNA from 1 species
GAUGAACGCUAGCGGCAGGCUUAAUACAUGCAAGUCGUGGGGCAGCAGGUUUGUAGCAAUACAGAUGCUGGCGACCGGCAAACGGGGUGCGGAACACGUACAGAACCUUCCUUUGAGCGGGGAAUAGCCCAGAGAAAAUUUGGAUUAAUACCCAUAGUAUAAUGAAGUGGCAUCACUUUAUUAUUAAAGAUUAUCACUCGAAGAUGGCUGUGCGGCUGAUUAGGUAGUUGGCGGGUAAAGGCCCACCAAGCCUGCGAUCAGUAACUGGCGUGAGAGCACGACCAGUCACACGGGCACUGAGACACGGGCCCGACUCCUACGGAGGCAGCAGUAAGGAAUAUUGGUCAAUGAGGCAACUCUGAACCAGCCAUG